rnacentral:rRNA from 1 species
UAGGGAAUAUUGGGCAAUGGGCGAAAGCCUGACCCAGCAACGCCGCGUGAAGGAAGAAGGUCUUCGGAUUGUAAACUUCUGUUGUGAGGGAAAAAGGAAGUGAUGGUACCUCACGAGGAAGCUACGGCAAACUAUGUGCCAGCAGCCGCGGUAAUACAUAGGUAGCGAGCGUUAUCCGGAAUAACUGGGCGUAAAGGGAGUGUAGGUGGCCGAAUAAGUUAGAUGUGAAAGACCGUAGCUUAACUACGGAAAUGCAUUUAAUACUGUUUGGCUAGAGUGCAAGAGAGGUAAACGGAAUUUCUAGUGUAGCGGUAGAAUGCGUAGAGAUUAGGAAGAACACCAGAGGCGAAAGCGGUUUACUAGAUUGCAACUGACACUGAGGCUCGAAAGCGUGGGGAGCAAACAGGAUUAGAUACCCUGGUAGU